rnacentral:misc_RNA from 1 species
GUGGAUUCCAAAAAUAGUUUAAGAAAACUGUAGAGGUCGUCAAUCAUGGCCUGCAGCUAAACCCAACAAUUAAUAACUUGAUAGACUUUGGUGGUUAAUUUUCAUGAAUGUGACAGACACGUUUUGGCUGGCAUGUGAAUUAGAAGAAUGUCCUUAGGAUGACUCAGAGAUGACCUUUAUAACAUGAUCUGAGUCUUUUGAGUCUUC